UAAAAAAUACAAAAUUCAAAAUUUUUUGAAAAUGAAAAAAAUUUUCAAACACCCACAACUCGUAAACUAACCGGCCGAUUUUGCUCAUCUUUGAACUUGAUCUUGGUAUUGAUCCACAGAAUAAGCCCACAAAAUUUCAUAAAGAUCGGUUGAGAACUGUGGGCGCAAUCCUGCUGACAUGGCGCGUGCAAUAAUUAUUU